UUUGGCGUUCGGUUUACGCGCCACGAUACCGUUCCCCACCGCGUGCAGCAGGUGGGUUUUACCCAGGCCCGUUCCGCCGU
rnacentral:antisense_RNA from 1 species